AUUACUGAUUCAGUGGUUGGUACAAUCAGAACAAAUAUCAGGACUUACUGGAAAUACUGAAACAAAGACUAAUCUCUCCUUCCUUUGACAGGGUAGGUGGGACUAGAACUAAAGCAGGCAUCUUGAAAUCAUGAGGACAAGGAAGCACUAUGGAAGCUCAGAACCAGGAGAGCCCAUUGAUGCCUGCACUAGAAGAUAAAGCAGAGCGGUUUAGAAUGAAGGUGACGGAGAAGAGCCAAGUGAAGAGCAAUGCCUACAGUCUCACCUCAAACCUACUGAAUCAGAGCUUCAAGGCCAAGGUCAGAAUAUCUGCAUUUUUGUUGUUGUUGCAUCUUCACUGGUGAAUUUAAUUAUGUGCACCAAUGACCCAGAAACUAAUGUGCCUGGGGCAUCAUACUUGCUCAAUAAAUAUUUUUACUUGAGUGAAAAACUCUAGAUAAUUUUCAAUAGUUUAUUAGGUUGACAUUUUAUAGCCAUGUAGAAUUUGGGUUCUGCAUAUAGACCCAGAGCAUGACAUAUCUCUGAGUAAUGUUUCGUAUAUAUUUCAAUGCCAAAAGAAGUGAUGUUUGGGUUUUGUUUCCUAUUCAGGCUCCAGGGAGAACUUGAGGUACUGUUUCUUCCCUCUUGACAAGUAUCAUUUUACCUAUGAAGUUGCAAGAUCCUAAUUAUUGACCCUACUGCUCUCUUAUCCCUGAGAGCAGUUGGGUACUGAUCGGGACCCAUGGCUGGCCUCUAUGCUCAGCAAUGAUUCUGGUCAAGGCUUCCUUUGGGUCAGUCUUAUUUACCUUACAUGAACAAACAUCUUCUUCACCAGCUAAGCCACACAAUUUUUUUUAGUAGCUGAUCAAUCUGCCUUAUUACGACAUGAAACCCAUAUGAUAUUUACCUAUUUUUAAAGAAUAUUUUUUAAAGUGAGGUCUAAGAUCCAUGGGAAUGGGAGAGUAGGCAGCUACCUGUGCUAGCAUAGGCAUUUGAUGGGAUCAAAAAACAGGGAAAUAUUGGCUUGUGUGAGAGGGGCAGGAGCAAGGAUAAAUGAAAAUGGGAGCCAUGACUACAGCUCAUGUCACAUAAAAAGAAAGCAUGAAGGGCCAUGAGGAGUGAGGCAGGUAAGGGCAUGAGAGAGGGUGGGCCAUGAAAAAGGUCUAGCAGGAAGUGACAGAGCUGUUGGAAUCUCAGAAAACCCAUUCUUAAUCUCUACCAUGUUGAAAGUUCACUCAGAGGACCUGCUGCAUCAAAAGCCCCUGGGGAGCUUCUUAAAAUGCACAUUUCUAACUGGAUUGUGUGCAAUGAUUAUAUAACUCUACAAAUGUACUAAAAAUCCUUAAAUUCAAUAUAUAAAACAGGUGGAUUUCACGGUAUUAUAAAUUAUACCCCAAUAAAUUCAUUUAAAUGCAGAUUCCUAAGCAUCACCUAAAACCUUCUGAACAAGAAUCUCUUGUAGCAGAACCCAGCAAUCUCUAUUUUAACAACUUCCCCUGAUGAUUUUGAAGCCUGAUAAAGUUAGAGGUGUACCUGUCAACAUAGAUGAAUCAUAAAAUAUUACAGUUGAGUGGAAUUCAGAACAACAUUUAUGUAAAUUAAAAUUCCAUACAGAUUCUGCAUGAACACACACAGAGCAAUAUGUUCCUUUGGAAUGGUUGGCUGCAGUAAUGAUAGGAGACAGAGAUAGACAGCAUGCCUUAGAGGAGAGGCUUGGAACAUGAAGAGCCUACCUUUAAAUUCUCAAGGAGAGAAAGUAUCCCUUUUGUCACAUUCCCAGUGUGCCUAUUCUAGUUUUAGAGCAUGCCUGAUUUCGCUAUUUAACAGGGGUCUCUUUCAAUGCCAUGCAAGCCCAGUACUUCCUGAUCUAUCAUGAGAACAACAAGUUUCAACAACAAAACCACAAAACAACAGGGCAAAGAGUGUUUAUGGCUGCCUACUGGAGUGAUACCCCAGGGAGAAAUGAAGGAUUUAGAUCUCAAGUUCAACUGAGUCAGUUCUCCACUGAUUACUUUUAUAUCUCCAAAAAAAGGCCAUAAUUAAAUACUUUCAAUUCCUGAACUAGUCACAGAAAAAAUAUCAGAGUAAUUAGUAACAGGAAGCAUGGAUCAAGAACAUGCAAUUAAAUCUAUUGGGUUAUCAUUUAUGUCUAAUCCUCCUGAGCAUAAAUCAUUAAUACAGAGUUCCAGGAGUUCUCUCUCUUCACCAGAGGUGAAGGAUUUCACCAGGGAUUCUCAAAGUGUGGUUCCCUGACCAGCUGCAUCAGCAUGGCUUGGGAACUUGUUAGAAAUAUAAAUUCUUGGACUCCACCCCAGACUUACUGAAUAUAAGCUCUGGGGAUGGGGCUAGCUAUUUUGGCUUUAACAGGCCAUCUGUGUACCUUAGGGGCACUGAACUAAUGAACCUCUGCUCCACUUUUAAGAAGGGAGGUAGCUCAGCCAUACUACUGACAGAGGAGGUGAGCAAUCUUUAACUGGGUCAA